rnacentral:rRNA from 1 species
AUACGGAGGGUGCAAGCGUUAAUCGGAAUUACUGGGCGUAAAGAGUACGUAGGUGGUUUAUUAAGUCAGAUGUGAAAGCCCCGGGCUUAACCUGGGAACUGCAUUUGAUACUGGUAAACUAGAGUAUGUUAGAGGCGGGUAGAAUUCAUAGUGUAGCGGUGAAAUGCGUAGAUAUUAUGAGGAAUACCAGUGGCGAAGGCGGCCCGCUGGACCAAUACUGACACUGAGGUACGAAAGCGUGGGGAGCGAACAGAAUUAGAAACCCUAGUAGUCC